rnacentral:misc_RNA from 1 species
CAAGGGCCAUUAUUUACCGUUAAAUAACGGUAAUGGCCAUUAGCACAAAUAUGCAUUUGCCACAAAUCACAUGCAAUCGGUUUUUUUUUUCUUUUCUUUUCAUUGUCUAGUCGCUCUACCCUAGCCUUCCAAAACAGCUAUUUCUUUCAUAUUUUCUCAAAAUUUCACCCAAAAAUUUGUCCGUCCUUCGACAAAUUCUCUCCCUCAUUAUUUUCUAAGUUAAGAUCACCAUUAAAUAACUCUAUUCUCCAAAGCUACUUCUUGCAAAAGGUGAGUUAUUUGCUAUUUCUUUU